AGCGGCAGAGAGCAGAGAAAGACGGAUCUCCCGUAUGCUUUUAUAAAAAAACCUAUGCUAUUUGUUGGUAGCCAAACUUCAGAAAGCAUUGAUUUCCAAGGAACUGGAUAUGGGGAGCCAUAUUUUUCCACUUUACCUUUUCAAGUGUUUGUUUGAAGAGCAGCUAUUGAAAUCCUUCCUCGGCUGCACUAUUUUCAGCACACCUGGAGGGCAUCCAGCACUGCUGUUGAACAUAUGUAAGCUCCAAACCAUGUUUCCAAUGCUUCUGUUCUUCACUUUUUACCCAUUUAAUCAAUCACUUCUUUAUUCAACACUACGCCUAUUUUGAGCUUUAUUUCAAUCCUCUCUCCAGGUCCUGCCCUACAGUCCUUCUUCACUUUUGACUCUCUCUCUCUGCCUUGUUACCUCUUUUCCCUGACGCUCUUUUACACUCUGUAGGAGGAAGGUAGCGCUACCUGUGCCUUGGUUUAUUUCUAAAUAGCUCUAGCUCCCUAGGUGACCACACCUUUUCCCUCCUUCCAUUCCUCUGUCCUCCUCCUCCCUUUUCGAUUCUUUUAAAAGGCAUAAGCCACAAAAAGAGUCAUAGUGCAGUGCAGAGGUCCUCUGCUCGCCUGAAGAGAAAUGCAGGAUAGGGAAAGGCCAAACUUUCUUUUAUUAUUGACGUAAUCCUAAAAGCUUGUGCCUGUGAAGACAGAUCAAUUUUCUCUACCUUAUCCUAUUAUUAAAAGCCAGCCUGGGGGCUGAGGACACCAGAUCUUACAAGGAGAAACAGAAGGAGAGAAAAACACGCAGCGAGACAGAUCGAGAGACACAAACACCUCCCCUCCUUCUCUCUCUCUCUCUCUCUUUCUCUCGCCCGCUCCAGCUGAUAAAACAUGAAUCUAGUAUGAAUUUGAUUUUCCAAUACUGUCAUUAAUAGAUGAGCUGGCAGGGGCUGGGGUUGGGGCCUGUGGAGCGGGCAGGCCUGCUGUAACACUCAUGGACAGGAGUGAAGAUAGAGACAAUCAAGGCUGCUAUGAACAACACUUCAUCACUGUCACGUUUGGGCAGAAUUCAAUUUGCAGAUGUCGAACUCGCCCCCCUCGUCUCUUCACCACGUCUGGAUUGUGAGAGAGGCGCACAUGUGCACGCACACACUCCCACAAGUACACAAAUGGUGCAUGUGUGCUUAUUAUGUGCUUCUUACAGUACAAAACCACAUCAAGCUGAGAUAACCGCGUUGUUCAGAAUCAUCUGGGGAAAGGAGGAUGGAAAGGAGAAGAGGAGCACUCCAAACUCUUACUGGUCCAUAUAUGAUCAAUGAGCUCUUUUGUGUGCCUGGUGCUAUGAUCAUGAGUGCUGUACCGCUCCUGCUUUUGGAC